AGCUGCUGUCCACUCUGCUGCUGUCCACUCUGAUGUCUAUGUAGCUGCUGUCCACUCUGAUGUCUAUGUAGCUGCUGUCCACUCUGAUGUCUAUGUAGCUGCUGUCCACUCUGAUGUCUAUGUAGCUGCUGUCCACUCUGAUGUCUAUGUAGCUGCUGUGCUGAGUGUUCUGAUUCCGUCCCUGCCUCCUUGAUCACUGGUGUAGCCUGCAAACUUCAUGUGGUACGCAAAACUGUUCUAACUAUUGCAUUCCAUGCCUCAGUAAGCGUAAGUGCGAAUUUACAUAAAUUUUUUCAGAAGGGGAGUAGGCUACAUGCGGUAUACAUGUUUUACACAAAAUACAUUAUCGACAUGUUCGUACAAACUUUGUUGUGAGUAUUACAAACAUAAGCACGACUGCUGAGUUACAUGCAGCUGUUUACUCUCUCCACGAUAUAACAGCAUCCCUAUCUAUGGCACUCUUUUUUACCUUCCGGAUACAAGCUCUGCUGCCUAGGACGUUCGUCUGCCCAGAGGUGGAACGCGACAAGAUACAGACACGCAGUCAGAUUAGUGAUCAAAUGUUUUGUUUCCAUCAUCAUUGUAAACAUUGGCUAAGCAGGAAGCAGACAGGCUAUCAAAGAAGUAGUGAUCUUUUUGUCAUGAACUACCAUAUGGUAGAAACUAUAAAGAUUAGCCUAACUAAACACACAAAAAUCUGAUUGUUUUUGCUUCAAUGUGACUUUCCACAGCAUGAUUCUUCUCCAGUAACGUAGAGUGGCUGAAAAUGCACUUCGGGGAUGAAAUUUCACUUCCUUAUCUUAUAAAAUACAUCUUUUUUUUACCAAGACAAAUAUGAUUUUUCAUGUUCUGAAUUAUUCAAUAGGGUCUUUCUCUAACAUACAGUAUCAUUAACAUGAUAUUCAACCUGUCAGAUGUCCUGACCUAUAAUACAUCUGAUAAUAAACACCAAGCUCUGUUGGCAUAGCAGUGCAGGUUUCUCGUAACUUUUGAGGAUUUUACAUGUUGUGGUCAUCGUCUUCAAAGUUGUUUUAACGGGUCGGAAAAAGACAAACUGGCAUGACAUGAGCUGAAGUAAAUUUAAAAGGUUUUGAAAAAAUAAAGCUUGGUAUUCAAUCAGUGUUCGGCUGACAUUUCAUAUGCAAUUUUCCUGAUUUAGUCACUCUAAUUUUGGCCAUUUUACAAGGGUGAAAACUCCAAUAACUUUUGAACGGAUUAUGUUAGAGACAUGAGGUUUGGACCAUGGGGUUUCUUAGCUCAUUGAUUGGACACCUUAAGUAAUGCUAGAAUUUGAUAAGUUGAUUCCGAUUCUGACUAGAUGUCACAUUGCCGGUAGACUAACAGUGUUGACGCCACGUUACAGGUGGACUAACAGUGUUGACGACACGUUACAGGCAGACUAACAGUGUGGACGCCACGUUACAGGCGGACUAACAGUGUUGACGACACGUUACAGGCAGACUAACAGUGUUGGGGAAGUUACAGGUAGACUAAAAGUGUUGGGGAAGUUACAGGUAGACUAACAGUGUUGGGGAAGUUACAGGUAGACUAACAGUGUUGACGCCACGUUACAGGUGGACUAACAGUGUUGACGCCACAUUACAGGUAGACUAACAGUGUUGGGGAAGUUACAGGUAGACUAACAGUGUUGACGCCACGUUACAGGUGGACUAACAGUGUUGACGCCACGUUACAGGUGGACUAACACUGUUGGGGAAGUUACAGGUAGACUAACAGUGUUGACGCCACGUUACAGGUAGACUAACAGUGUUGACGCCACGUUACAGGUGGACUAACAGUGUUGGGGAAGUUACUCUGAAAAUAUAGUUGACCAAUUACUUCACAAUGGAAAAAGUUCAGCGACGCUAACGCCUCGAUCA
rnacentral:lncRNA from 1 species